rnacentral:piRNA from 1 species
UGAGUUGCCUGGCUCUGAAGCCUUGCUCU